UACGUAGGUGGCAAGCGUUGUCCGGAUUUACUGGGCGUAAAGAGCGCGCAGGCGGUCGUUCAAGUCGCGUGUGAAAGCCCCCGGCUCAACUGGGGAGGGUCACGCGAUACUGAUCGACUCGAAGGCAGGAGAGGGUAGUGGAAUUCCCGGUGUAGCGGUGAAAUGCGCAGAUAUCGGGAGGAACACCAAUGGCGAAGGCAGCUCGCUGGGACGGUACUGACGCUGAGGCGCGAAAGCGUGGGGAGCAAACAGG
rnacentral:rRNA from 1 species